GAUGAACGCUGGCGGCGUGCCUAAUACAUGCAAGUCGAGCGAACGGACGAGAAGCUUGCUUCUUUGAUGUUAGCGGCGGACGGGUGAGUAACACGUGGAUAACCUACCUAUAUGACUGGGAUAACUUCGGGAAACCGGCUCUAAUACCGGAUAAUCUUUUGAACCGCAUGGUUCAAAAGUGAAAGACGGUCUUGCUGUCACUUAUAGCUGGAUCCGCGCUGCAUUAGCUAGUUGGUAAGGUAACGGCUUACCAAGGCAACGAUGCAUAGCCGACCUGAGAGGGUGAUCGGCCACACUGGAGCUGAGACACGGUCCAGACUCCUACGGGAGGCAGCAGUAGGGAAUCGUCCGCAAUGGGCGAAAGCCUGACGGAGCAACGCCGCGUGAGUGAUGAAGGUCUUCGGAUCGUAAAGCUCUGUUAUUAGGGAAGAACAUAUGUGUAAGUAACUGUGCACAUCUUGACGGUACCUAAUCAGAAAGCCACGGCUAACUACGUG
rnacentral:rRNA from 1 species